UACGGGAGGCAGCAGUGGGGAAUUUUGGACAAUGGGGGAAACCCUGAUCCAGCAAUGCCGCGUGUGCGAAGAAGGCCUUCGGGUUGUAAAGCACUUUUGUCAGGGAAGAAAUCCUUUGGACUAAUACCCUAGGGGGAUGACGGUACCUGAAGAAUAAGCACCGGCUAACUACGUGCCAGCAGCCGCGGUAAUACGUAGGGUGCAAGCGUUAAUCGGAAUUACUGGGCGUAAAGCGUGCGCAGGCGGUUGUGUAAGACAGGUGUGAAAUCCCCGGGCUUAACCUGGGAAUUGCAUUUGUGACUGCACGACUAGAGUGUGUCAGAGGGGGGUGGAAUUCCUCGUGUAGCAGUGAAAUGCGUAGAUAUGUGGAGGAACACCAAUGGCGAAGGCAGCCCCCUGGGAUAACACUGACGCUCAUGCACGAAAGCGUGGGGAGCAAACAGGAUUAGAUACCCUGGUAGUCCACGCCCUAAACGAUGUCAACUAGUUGUUGGGGAUUUACUUCCUUGGUAACGUAGCUAACGCGUGAAGUUGACCGCCUGGGGAGUACGGCCGCAAGGUUAAAACUCAAAGGAAUUGACGGAAGGGC
rnacentral:rRNA from 1 species